rnacentral:rRNA from 1 species
CCUACGGGAGGCAGCAGUGAGGAAUAUUGGUCAAUGGACGAGAGUCUGAACCAGCCAAGUAGCGUGAAGGAUGACUGCCCUAUGGGUUGUAAACUUCUUUUAUAUGGGAAUAAAAUGUUCCACGUGUGGGCUUUUGUAUGUACCAUAUGAAUAAGGAUCGGCUAACUCCGUGCCAGCAGCCGCGGUAAUACGGAGGAUCCGAGCGUUAUCCGGAUUUAUUGGGUUUAAAGGGAGCGUAGGUGGAUUGUUAAGUCAGUUGUGAAAGUUUGCGGCUCAACCGUAAAAUUGCAUUUGAAACUGGCAGUCUUGAGUACAGUAGAGGUGGGCGGAAUGCGUGGUGUAGCGGUGAAAUGCUUAGAGAUCACGAAGAACUCCGAUUGCGAAGGCAGCUCACUGGACUGCAACUGACACUGAGGCUCGAAAGUGUGGGUAUCAAACAGGAUUAGAUACCCUUGUAGUC